CCAGAUGACAUAAACCAGGAAGUCAGUGACUCUAUGUGUGACGAAACCCAGUGACUCAACCUGGGUUUUGUGCCACAUUAAAGAGCCUUGUCUCUAAGAUAUCCCCAGUGGGAACUGGCAUCUCUCCUCAAGGCAGUGGCCCUCCACUUCUCCGUGAGAUCUGACCCUACACACCCGCCCUCCUUUUUAACCUCUCCUAUUGUAAAUUCUCCCACCUGAGGUGGUCCUCUGCUCCCAGUUACUUCUCCUUUCCUGACUGCUCUCCUGGCCUCCCUAUACCCUGGGAGUGAAUGACAGUACGACUGGGCCCUAGGCCGCCUUCUGUCCCUCCUCAGAGAACUCCGCACUCAGCUGUAGUCUUCACUCUGUGCUGAUGACCACAUGUUCCAGAUGUUUUGUUUUUAAAGAUUUUAUUUAUUCAUGAAAGACAGAGAGAGAGAGAGAGAGAGAGAGAGAGGCAGAGACACAGGCAGAGGGAGAAGCAGGCUCCAUGCAGAGAGCCCGACGUGGGACUCAAUCCCGGGACCCCAGGAUCACGCCCUGGGCCGAAGGCAGCACUAAACCGCUGAGCCACCCGGGCUGCCCUGUUCCAGAUGUUUGAUCACAGGAUGAUGCAGCCUGAAUUACUGAGUACCUGGAGCAAAUUUCCCUGGAGACUUGCCUGGAUCCACAGUGGGUUCUGUAUGUUUGUUACAGCAGCAUCACCUGUUCUGAUUGAUACACAUUCCCACCUGCCAUCAAUCCUUUCCCAUUUACACUAUUAUAUAUGUAUGCAUAUACAUAUAUAUUUACUUUAUAUAUACAUAUAUAUACUUAAGCAUUUAAGAUUACUUGACAUAUUGUAUAUUUAUUUACUUGUUUGUAGAGGCCAUCAGUGCCACUCAUCAAAUAUUUUCACCUCUCUGCCUCUGGAUAUGUGGUAAGAUUGUGGUUGGGUCAGGCCGUGUUCUAGAGUUUUCCUUAUGCACAACAACUGGCCCCUUGAACUUAUUCUGGGUCCUAGAAUGUGGCAAAUAGACCCUAAGCUGGUCUCCGUGAUUUCUAAAACCUGGUGUUUAUGCCUUUGUAUAAUAGCCUCCUGUCCAGGGUGAGGAGACCUGUGACUUACUUGUAACCCAUAGAAUACAGUGAAGGUGAUGGGAUGUCACUCUCAUAAUUAUGUUACCUUGUAUAAGACUGUAUCUUGCUAGCAAACUAAUUCUCUCUCUCUCUCUCUCUCUCUCUCCCUCCCUCUCUCUCCCUGUUGCUGUCUUUGAAGAUGAAAGCUGUUCAUGAAGUAAGUAGCCACGUUGGAGAAGCCCAAGUAGCAACAAACUGCAGGUGGCCUAGUCUAGGAGCCAACAAUGACCCCAAGUAAGAAACUGAAACGCAGGAAAUGAAAUUGGUCAACCUAAAAAAAAAAAAAAAAAAAAAAAAAAAAAAAGAAAUUGGUCAACCUCAACCUAAACCUAAAACAUCAGGAAAUGAAUUUGGCCGAAACCAUGAGGGUGCUUGGAAUUGAAUUUUUUCCCAGUUUAGCCUGUGAUGAGAGCCCCAGUCAAAACCUGGACUUCAUCUGGAUGAGAGCCUGAGCAGACGACCCAGCGAAGCCACGUCUGCCAUGGUGGCCUCCCUUUCUACCUGACAAACUUCACGAGGUUAAAAUUCUCCUGAGCGAUAGAAGAGAUGAAGAGUCAGCCAGAAAUCAAAUAUGUGGAUGUUUGUGGUAAAUGUUAUAUCGUGAAGCGGCCUCCAUCUGCCAACUCUCAAGCUUCUGGACUCUUUUGGGUACAACUUGCGUAGAAUCAUGGCCCCCCAAAGCCCUGCCUUCUGGAUCGGCUUCCCGGACGGAGGGCUGUGUGCCAGGCAAGGGGCGGUUUCAGCACUAAAGGAAGUCUGGGCUCUCCACGGUCACUGUCAUCUCCUAGAACUGAAAUUUCAUUACGCAAGAGCAAAUAAUGCAGUCGUUCAUGGACAGCCUGGCACAGAACAGGCACCCGUCUCCGCUCCUGGCAUAGCCGGCGCCGGCCCAGUUGUGCAAGUCUCUGAAGCUUGAAGCAGAGCGAUUCUUCUUGUGUUUCUGAUUUUGUUUAUUUAUUCAUGAGAGACACACAGAGAGAGGCAGAGACACAGGCCGAGGGAGAGGCAGGCUUCCUGCAAGGAGCCCGAUGUGGAACUCGAUCCCGGGACCCCAGGAUCACACUCUGAGCCAAAGGCAGAUGCCCAACCAUCGAGCCACCCAGGUGCCCUAAUAUUUACAUUUCACAGUGUACGUGCUUUUUAUCAAAGAGGCUUAUUAAUCCAAGUGAACGCUGUCUAUAGCACAGUUUCCAUAGAGAAUUGUCGGCCAGCCCUUUGGAGAGGAAGAUGAUGGGGAUCGUCAGUGGUCUCCACUGGAUCAGGUCUGUCCCCGCCCUCUGGGUAUCAUGCCUCAGUGGGCCAGAGACUAGACAGGUUUGGGAGCUGAUUAUUUGAACAGUACUCGUUUAUCUGAAAACUUCCCCAACAAUCCGCUUAAGAUCAGAAACAAAUGCUUUUUAGGAAAAACAGUGGAGAAAAAAAAAUCUACCCAGAAGUCCACACCUAUUCAGGUUGUUUAAUUUCCUCUUUAAAUUUUUGUUCUUUGCCAGCACAGCUUUGAAGCUGUGUCAUUUCAUGUCUAAAAGGUCCUUGG